UCUUUUAUCAAUAUGCACCUGUUUAAUAAAUUUCAUUACUUGUAUAUGAACCACGUAAGAAAAGCUUCACCUUCUCUUUAUUUCCAUGAACUUCUGGAACAAAAAAGAAUAAUCACUAUUCUUAGAUUUCUUUACUCCCAUGUUAAGAGAUGAAACUGUGCUGGUUUGCUUGUGGAAAUUAAUUAUUGGAGUUGAAAAGGGUGAAAAUUUCGGGUAACAAAGUGCAAAUAGUCAUUUAUUUUAUUCUAUAUUUUUGCAUUUUAAGUGAUUCUGCUUUAUUUCUGCUAUCAUAAACGUGUAGGGCAUGAGAAAAUUAAUUAUCUUUUCGAACUACCUCACUGUUUUAUUCUAUAUUUUUAUUCUCUUUAUUCUUAAGGAGUAGUUUCUAGUUUUCAGGUCGGACUACUUUUCUUCAUCUCAAUGUUCUUCACAAUAUUUUUAACCGAAUAUUUCUAAUUUUUGAUGAUUUCUUAUGAAUGUAUUAGGGUUUGGUGAUUUUGAUGGAUUCUUAGCUAAUUCAAAUAAGGAGUGCUUGUCUCAUCUCAAAGGUUUGUGCAAGCCUAUUUCUUUUCAUAUAAAAAGGUUAGUAUAGAAACUGAUACUCAAAACUUAAUUAAUAUCUUCUAGGAUAAGCAAAACCCUCAUGCCAAUGUGGAUGCCCUUUCAAUUUCGGAAUAAAACUUCUCACUGUAUUUUAAUCCUUCAUAUUUUCUUUGUUUCUCAAUUUACGUUUACAACUCAAAUGAUUUGUUGAAUUUUACCCCAUUUAUAAUAACAGGAGAUACUGGCUGGAUUGUUUUCUUGAACACCAUGAAAUCUUUAUUUACUAUCAAUUGCUGAGUGGAAAAUUUUAUAAUAAUCAAAAGGCUUGGAUGAGAGAUUGCUCCAUGAAUUAUUCAAUUGCUUGUGGAAGUGAUCAGUGGCUAUUGUUGAAGUUUAAAUGUACUUAUCCAUCAGCUCUAAUGUUAUUAACAUCAUUAAAUUUCACAUUGUGAGAAAUUAAGGAAUGCCCCCCAACAAUUUAUGUCUAUUUGUCAUUACUUAAGCAUUCUUUAGAACAUGUUAUAUCUAGAAUCAUUUUUCACAUAAGAUGUAUUCCUGAUUUAUAUUACUCCUGAAUAUUCAGGAAUCUUACUAAAAUACACAUGUCAUUUACAGAUUUACUCCAUUCUUAAUUUGUUAACAUUACUCCGCACACCCAACGUAUAAAUUGCUAUAUAUUCUCGACUUUUCUCCCAAAAAUUCUGCCAAAAAGGAUUUAUAGCAGUAAUUUUUUACGUUGCAUGUUUGUAGCUAUGAUUAUGGUAUAAAUAAGAAUAUAUAGAAUAUUAUUUACCUGAAGAUAACUCUGAAGAUUGUAGCUAAGUUUAAUCAGGAAGUUGAACAGAGUUUUAAAAUUGGUUCAAUAAUCUAAUUGCGGGAUUAUAAACAGAAAUUAGAACGUCUGUUACCAAAAAAAAUGUAACAAAAACAAACGUAAAAGGCCAGAAAGCCUAUAUAUAUCAUGCCAUUACUGGGAAUUAUUGUAUAAUUUAAUUUCAGAAUACGACGAAUUGUUAGUAAUAGGAUAUCUGAACGGGAUCGACGCAUAAUCUGAUCGCUGUUGAUUUACUGGAUUCUGCUUUCCAUAAUCCUUGAAUUCGUCACUGACACACUGUUGAUUCACUGAUACACUGCCAAUUGUUGUAUGAUGCAUUCGACUUGGUAGCAGUCAAGUCACAUUUGGGAACAAAUGGUCCAGUCUUAUGCUUUCUAGGGGUUGUUUCUUUACUUGAAAUAACCAUCAUUGUUUAGUAAAACCCCAUUUUAGAUUCUUUAAUUUCUAGUGUAAAUAUUGAUGAUUUCUUGUUUAUUAUGAAGGGGGAAUGGUCUUUUCCUAUUACAGGCUCUUCCUUGUUUUAGGUGUUUCAAAAACUGAACUAUUGUUUGAUGUUACAAUUUCAAGUAAAACACUUUGUAACUAUAAAACUGAACUAUUGUUUGAUGUUACAAUUUCAAGUAAAACACUUUGUAACUAUAUGUAUAUACUGGAUGAAUCACAAUCUUUUAACUCCAUGUUAUUUGCGAGUGCAGGACAGCAAGCAUUUUAUUUACUUCAGGACUAUUUGCAUUAUUGCUAAUUAUCAUAUCUGAUGGUCUAACAGUGAACCUAAUUAAUCCAGUAAUUGGUCUCUCCCUUCAGAAUUUCUAAUGAUUCUCCUUGUAUAUUGUUUGAUGUUUUUUUAUAAUGUUAGUCAGAACAUUAGGUGAAGAGCUGUGGUAUGAAUGAUCAAGCCCUUUUAAUUUUCACAUGAGGAGCUGGGGGUUAGGUUCGGCAACCGAACAAUAUCUCUAUUUGAAGAAAAAGUGGCAGCAACUGUCAAAUUGAAAUAGAGGGCGGGUUGGUUGGGUUGGUUGUUUUUGUGAACUUACUAUUUCUUCUAUCUACAAGGAAAAGGCUGAACCAUCUUGAUCAUUUUUAAUUAACUGAUCCUUGGUUAAUGUUGUUGUUGCUUAUCUAACAUUGUGCUUAGUAUUUUAAUUGGACAAGAGGAUAAUUAGAAUGCUUGAAUAUAUUGUCACGCUUUUUCUUCUCCGAACUUAUCCUUGUUACUUGCUGUGUUGCCAGGUUUGCUGAAGCUUAAGGUAAUGAAUCCGAUAUCAAGUGAAGGGUCUUCAUGCUUGUUGCUUCUCUCGGCAAAUUCUGGGACAUGUCAAUUUGGGGAAUGAAACAGAAUUGGUAUCAGAACGCUAUGUGUAAUAAUUAAGAUCUUAUUUUUGCCAGCUAGCCUUCAUUCUGUUUUGUUGAUACUCUGAAGUCUGUUAUUGCCAUUAUUCUAUUUUGUCUGAUUCUGUUUGAUGGGUUAUACUGUGCUUGCCCUUUAAUAUUCACGAUGUAAUUAAUAUAUGUAUUUUUGCCAGCUAGCCUUUCAUUGCGGUGUCUGAUUCUGUUUUGUUGAUAUUCA